rnacentral:lncRNA from 1 species
GUCAUAUUUUCCCCCAUUAGAUGGUGAAUUUGAGUGUUGGAAUUCGAUUUUAAUCCUAUUUUUUCUCUCUUCUUCAUCCAACAGCCUUUAUGCAACACACAAAGCUGCCUGGUGGUAACAAAUGCUCAGUACAAUUUUCAUGACUCCAGUGUUUACUUAGGAUUGUUGUUCCGUAACAUCCCUACUUUCCUCGUUACUAUUGAGUUCCAGAGGGAAAUGUGUUCACUUUUUAAGAUGACACAAGCCUGUGUUCUGACACCCAACCUUAUCCUGAGCCUUACAGCAAUUCCACUGCAGCUUCUAAGCCUCUGCCUGGACUCCACUAGGUCACUGGCCAACAGAAUCCAUUCUGGCUGCCCUAGUGUGAAGCAUGCUGGGAGCCUACUCAAGAGAGGGAACUGCACCCAGCACAAGAAGAUAGUCUUGGGAAUACAGUCUGUUUUUGAAGGAAAAGGUUGGGAGCCAGCUGACAGGACAGAUGGAUGCUCUUUCACUUUCUCUUAACCCUUGUGUAAGUAGAAUUGGGCCCUCGGGGGGCAUCUGGGCUUUAACUCCCAUGGUCUAGGGCUAAGUGUCAGAAUAAAGCACACUAUCCCUGGAGGACCCUGAACUCA